UCGACUCUAGUUCGUUGAUAGACGAUGUAUUUGCUGAUAUCAUCAUGGCCAUGGUAAGUAGCAUUCGGGGUUCAAUUCACUGACCUGCACCCGCUUACGUACUAACUGCGAACACGUCCCGCUGUCCUUUGUUCCAGGAAGCGCAUAUUUGCAGUAGCAAUGAUCGUUCUGCUGGAGGCCAUUAUGUGGCUGCUGAACAAGUAUAUAGCGUCGUCAUGCAUAAAGUGGUUUGCAACUUCAAGAUUUGUCUGCAUCCUUUUAUCAGAGUGUAGGUGAAAUCAAUAAACACUUUGUUAUCGGAGAAAGGACUGAAGUGAUUGAUAAUCAUUUUCCAUGGGAUUUGUGAAUAAAGAAAUGGAACU